CUGUAGGGGCUGAGCAGGAGCACAAAGCAUUUAACAGACGUAACAACGAUUAAAGAAGUGUUUUGGUAGUUGAAAUCAGUAGAUAUGGCUUGGAAUGUGUAUUCACGGAGUAAUAAAUGCCACUUCCGUAGUCGCUUUUCUCGCAAUAACUACCAUUGAAGAAUUGUGUCCAUUGUCAUAGAUUUAAUUGUCUAGGCUUUGGUCUGCAAUGGUAAAUGCUGAAUUCCUUGACGCUGAAGUCUUGAUUUCCCGAACUCUUCUGGGUCUUUUGGUUUAUAGGGCUGGCAGGGAAACAUGGGGAAAAUUUUAUAGUAACAAACCACCUGAAUUUUACUGGCAUUAAAAGAGGAGGUUGAAAGAUGCAGAAUUUUAAUACAGUUGGGGAGGAUUAGUUCCUGAACUACACACUGUGACAAUACAGAUUCUUUAGGUUAGUUUUGUCUAAAGGGGGUUUAAUUUUGUCUGCUGUGAGAUUACAGAAUUAGAUAAUGAUGGUUAGAUGGCAGAGUUAUAGAAAGAAAUUGAGCUCAAUGUUAGCACUUGGAUUAAGAGCCUUAUACUGCUGUUUAGUUUCCUUCUAUAAUGUGUAUUCAUGUUAUACUGUUCAUGGAAAUCCUUAUGACAUCCUUUUCAAAGAGCAAUUCGCACGCAAACAUGUAGAGAUGUUUGGGAGUUACCUAUUAAUGCAAAACCAUUAUUUUCUUAAUAAAACAUAGGACUUUCAGUCAUUCAGAAGUUCAAGUUCAAACUGUCAGUCACUUUUUUUAUUGUCUGUCUACUUCUUUGCUACAAAGUAAUUGCAUCUGCUCACCUGGUUAAAUCCCAUUUGAGCAUUUGAAUCUUGAUAUAUUUUGGUACAUGACCUGUCCUGUUGUAAAUGGCUUUGUGAAUAACAUACACUUCUCAGAAGUUUUUAGAAAUACCAUUAUUUUCCAUUCAGUGAAUAAGGCCACUGGCUCUGGGGGGAUUAUCAUUUCGUAUUUCUCUACAGGAGUCUUACAUUGGUGGAUCAACCAUUGGUAUAACUUUAGAAUUCAACUUGCAGCAACUUUAAGAAGUGUUUAACUUCUAAUAUGCAAUAUAUUAUCUGUAGAGGAAUGCUACCAAUUUAGUCAACUAAAAUUUAAAAGUGAAAGAUUUGGAUGCCAUAUCUGCCCUUGUCUGCCAACUGUUUUUUGUAAUUUUUGCAAUUGCCUUUUCUAGUUUUGUGUGUGUGUGUAUUUCUUCUCCCUGUUGCUGUGUGAAAGACCCACAGACAGAAUAGGCAACUGAAACAAAGGGCUAUCAAAUACACAGGAAACUGAGGAUAAAUGAACUAAAGAAUUUUUUUUUGUUAGGCCCUGAUCUUUAUAGGAUUGGACCCUAAGGUGGUGUUUGUAGUAGAGGCAAGUAAACAAUCUUUAGAGAAAAAUGUAACUUUAAAAAGACUCUGACAACUUCAAGGUUAGGGUUCAUGGCGCAUUCAUUUUGAAUUCGUAUUGAUUUGAUGAGUUCUUUGUAAAAGGUUAAUGUUUUUAUUCUCCAAAGAAAACAGAAUUCCAUAAUGUUUCACCAGACUAUUAAAUUGAGUGCUUGCCUUCCUAAAAGGAAGUGUUGAUUAAAAUGGAAGGAACAUAACUCAAGUUCCAUUCAUGAACUGACUAGCCAUCAGUCUAUUAGUUUUGAUUAGAACUGACAAGUUUCAGUUAAGAGGAGGAAAGAUAAGACUAGGAAAUAAAUAUUGUUAAUGUGACACAAACUCUCUAGAAUUAGAAUGCUGAAAUAGGUGAGAGAGUUUAUUCUCCCCGCAUGAUUAUUUGGGGAGGGUUCAUGUAGAAGUUGGAGGGAAAUGCAAAAUGUUGCUGCAAAAAAGUAUUGGCCUUUGAAAGCAAAGCUGUCUAAUAGUAGAUAUAUAAAUAUGCAAACUUUUAUAUUUCAGUACCCCAAAUCCCGCUGCCUGGUGGCCUUGAGUUUCAGUUGCCUAUCCAACUUUACUGGUCAUAAAUUGUAAACUUCUUCAGGAUAACCAUGGAAAACAUGAAGACAAAUUCUUAAUGAUUGAGCUGGUUCUGUAGCACCAGUUUAGGCACAUUCUUUUUGGUCCUGAAUCAUGUUAAGAACACAUGCUCAGCUUCCAACCACACUAACGCUUUCUGAACCAUUCUGUUUGCAGUGCCUUCUGAGUACUUUUCCCACAGUUCCUGACACAGCUGGCAGAAACAGUGAUUUUUGGGGUUACUUGAAAAGGCAACUGAUACAAUGUGUAACAGUAAUGGGAGGACUGGUUAAAUUUUUUCAGCUAGUCUUCACAUGUACUGGCACUAAAACAGUUCAGGCUGAAACAACCGAGGAUCAAAUGGUAAGGUGUUCAUGCUCACAAUAAACAUUCUCUGAAACUGAAAAAAGACUGUAGCAAAACCAGUAAAGUUCAGACUUCGGACACCCUUCAUGUUUCUAAAGUGGUAAAUUAGCAGUAUGGGGCACUUCUUUAAAAGGGAAAAAUACCUUUCAUGCCCACUUUAUACAUUAUAAAAAGAAAACAAACAUCUAUUUCACAUCAUACUUUUAUAAUAAGUGGAGAUUUUCAGACAGUACAGAAUUAAUUAAAAAUUGCAGGAGAACCCUAAGAUCAUGGAAUUCAUAACUGUCUUUGAUAUCAUGAUUUUUCUCCCUUAACCAGAUGUUUGGCAGUUUUACUUGUAGAUUUUUUUUUAGGAGUUCAGUCUUCUUGAGCAGCAGUUAUUCUUGCCCUGCUCCCUUGCCAUGCAGGGCAAAGGGAAUGAGCAUUUCUGUACUGGAAAAAGUGUCCAUAACUCUGCAUUGGUUAUAGUGGUAAUGGAUGGUUGUAGAAUACAUAGUGCUCUUGGAAGCUCUGCUGGUUUUUUACCACAGUCAUCUUAUUCUCUCUUCAAAGGAGUAAAAAGGCUUGAGCCCUGUCUAAAUUGGUUUCUACCAUGCAGCUUUAGUGAUGCCACUUAAAAAGUGCUAUCUACAAUACAAAACUUUUGCUUACCACUAUUUGAUUCCCCAGCACAUCUUUAGCACAUCUUGCAUGUAUUAAAAUGUUUCCUAUGGUAUGCAAGCGUUACAAUCACUGUAUAGAUUACCCUUUCUUGAAGAAAGGCUAGCCACUGUGCUAAUAUCUAUUGCAGUGAUCAUGUGGAUAGGGAUUGCUGGGGUAACAUCCCUCAAUUAUACAAGUAAUCCUCAUGCUUUGAUCUCACAGUGCAGCAUUCGCUACCCAGGUGACCUUCACUGCUCUACUUUCUGAAGUUUCUUGUGCAAGGUCAAAACUGGCAAUAAGUCACUUAGUUGUGCAAAUAGCUUCAUAUACAGAAUAGAACUCAAAUGUAUGUUAUUUCCAUGACUAUCAGUUUCUUCUACAACUUUGCUGAAAUCAUUUUUGUUCUGUCAGCAGAAUGUUUUGGAGGUGUCCAUCAUGUGACUAUAGUAUUAGCUACCUGAGGCUGAUGUGCAAACACUAAUGGCCAUAUAAAGAGAGAGAGCCCAGAUGAUCUUGGUCAUUCAUAAUAGUGUGAAACUGGGAGUCUGAGCGAUUAGUAGAGAUCGGCGUCACUAGAGGGGCAGGCAGUGCCAAGGAAAGGUAAAGGGAUUGAACAUCCUGUAUAAUGAGGCCUGAGCUAGUGGCACUAAGCCUGGUUCAGGGCAUAAAGUGUGCCACUUAUACAGUGAACUGGACACAUUCUUUGAGACUCAGCCUUCCAGAGCCACAAAAAUACUUCUGCAUAGCAGAAAGGUCCCGUGCAUUGCAUUGAUGUUGAUGGAGUCCUCUUCCAACUUGGACCACUGGAACAUGGAGCUGGUUCUGAAGAUGCCAGGCUUGUUGCUGACCUCAUAGGAUCUGUUUUGUAUGCAUGAAGGAUCCAGAUAUAGCAGCCAAGACAGAAUGGCAGGGCAAGGAAUCUGAAAACAGAGAGCUCUCAACACCAGUGGCCACGCCAGUAGGAUGGAUGUCCCAGAAGAGGCUUGGUGUCAUGCAGAACGGAUUCACAGUGGUGAAAUAUCUGACAGUUUACUGGUUCCAGGAACACAAAAUCAGGGCCACUUUGCAAUAUAGGGCAAAGCACAAUGAGGCAGGACUAUUUCGGGAA